UAAAGACACAGCUUUGAAGUUAGCUCAUGUUGAGGAAGUUUGCCAUAUCAUUGACAGUGGGACAUGGUUUUCAAAUGGGAAAAGAGUUCAACCUGCACAACAGACAAUUGAAGAGAUAAAUCAUCCACGGAUUCAAACUUUUGUAAUGGGAAAUAGGACACAGAAAGAAGAUGAACAAAUUAUAGGAGUGAAAAGAAAUGUAGGAGACGAAAUCAGAAACAUGAAAAGGAAGGAUGGAAGUAAAUUAAACAUUGGAGAAAUUGUUUAUUUUAAAUUAGAUGACCAUAUUAAUUAUGGUAAAAUUGACUGCAAAACCAGUUCAGAUGUUACUGUUUUGUUGAUGAUACCUCACCAGGAAGAUCCCUUAUUCCAUUGCAAGAGCCUUACACUCACCACAAGAAGAAAAAGCUUGCCUUACAAUAUCAUUGAGGGCUCUUUGUUUGUAUCUCAUGAUUGUAGAAAUGGUGGAUGCUGUUCCAUGGUUACAAACCAAUCUAUUAGACAAUUUCGUCAUAAUUAUAAACAUGGUGUCUAUCUUAUUAACAGAUUUAAAAUUCAUUUUAAUUAUAAACAAUUUAAUUCCUGAUUUAAGGGCAUACUAUAUAGUUAAGCCAUAUGUUCAGGUUAAACACAAUAAAGGGAACAGUCCAAGUUUGCACCUGGGGUAAGAAAUAGAGAUCAGCACAAUUGAAAAAGAAUUGUUAUCCUCAAUUAAUAAUAUUCGAUUUUUAUAAAACUUAUUUGGUAAGUGAAAAAACUACUGGAAAUGUUUUACAUUUUAAUUUUACAUUCUAAUUUGUAUUUGGUUAGGCAAGUGCUCAGGUCACAGACACUACUGGUAAUAGUCACCUCUGGAAAUGUAUGUCUUUAAUAAAAUAUAACAAGUCUUUAAAGCACUAUUAUAAUUCCAAAAUCAACUAAUUAUUAUACCAAACAAAGAAAUCACAGGAAAAAUGUUAUAUCUUUUAUAUUCAGAAAA